rnacentral:rRNA from 1 species
ACUCCUACGGGAGGCAGCAGUGGGGAAUAUUGCACAAUGGGCGCAAGCCUGAUGCAGCAACGCCGUGUGAGUGAAGAAGGUUUUCGGAUCGUAAAACUCUGUCCUAAGGGAAGAAAAAAUGACGGUACCUUAGGAGGAAGCCCCGGCUAACUACGUGCCAGCAGCCGCGGUAAUACGUAGGGGGCAAGCGUUAUCCGGAAUCACUGGGCGUAAAGGGUGCGUAGGCGGCUUGACAAGCCAGGGGUGAAAGGCAUUGGCUCAACCAAUGUAAGCCUUUGGAACUGUUAAGCUUGAGUGCAGGAGAGGUAAGUGGAAUUCCUAGUGUAGAGGUGAAAUUCGUAGAUAUUAGGAGGAACACCAGUGGCGAAGGCGACUUACUGGACUGUAACUGACGCUGAUGCACGAAAGCGUGGGUAGCGAACAGGUUUAGAUACCCUGGUAGCACAGAG